AACGAACGCUGGCGGCAGGCCUAACACAUGCAAGUCGAGCGAGGACUUCGGUCUUAGCGGCGGACGGGGGAGUAACGCGUGGGAACGUGCCCUUUGCUUCGGAAUAGCCCUGGGAAACUGGGAGUAAUACCGGAUGGGCCCUUUGGGGGAAAGAUUUAUCGGGGAAGGAUCGGCCCGCGUUGGAUUAGGUAGUUGGGGGGGUAAUGGCCUACCAAGCCGACGAUCCAUAGCUGGUUUGAGAGGAUGAUCAGCCACACUGGGACUGAGGCACGGCCCAGACUCCUACGGGAGGCAGCAGUGGGGACUCUUAGACAGUGGGGGCAACCCUGAGCUAGCCAUGCCGCGUGAGCGAUGAAGGCCUUAGGGUUGUAAAGCUCUUUCAGCUGGGAAGAUAAUGACGGUACCAGCAGAAGAAGCCCCGGCUAACUCCGUG
rnacentral:rRNA from 1 species